AAAGUUAGACAAUAAGUUUAACCACAGAGAUAUUUUUUGGUUUAUUUAUACCAUGUACCUCUUUGAAAAAAUCUUUUGUUUCUUUUGGAUUCACUAUCUCAAGCACCAAAACCCCAAAUCUAAAUACAUCUGAUUUUACCCAGAACACCAUCUAUAGUGUAUUUCGGGGAAAUGUAGCCAGUGCAUGAUAAAAAAUAAUAUCCGGAAUCUGAGUUACGAGAAAUAGAAGAGCGUUUCACAUAUUAUGGAUGAUUCUGAGAUGGGAAUCUUGAUGGAGAUGUUAAGCUGUCGAACUUAAGUAUCGUCGCUAUAAAGAGGCAAUGUGGAUUGAAAAGGGAUUGCGAUUUUUCUCUUAUAAACUUCUAAAUUAACUACAGUAUGUAGUUUCAUAUUGAGAUGAACCUCUAUUAAUGUUGCUUGUUCUUUUGUGUCUUUUUUCCUUGUUA
rnacentral:lncRNA from 1 species